CUAUAAAAUAUUUUAUUUAUAAAACUAUUGUAUUAUACAAUAUCUAAAAUCUACUCUAUUAAAAUAGAGUCCUAAAUUUAUCUACUAUUGAAGUUGUCAUUUAAGUUUUGGACUGUUUCAAGUUUGUUAGUGUGUUACAUAAUUUAUGGACCAUAUCCUAUUAGUUACAAUUAAUUAUACAAUAAAAUUAAAACUAGAUAACUUAAAUUAAACCAACAAUCUAUAUAUAUAAAAAAUUGUUUGGUUCACUCCUGCAGUGUCCACGUGGAAACUCAAUUGAUAUAGGGUCGACACGUGUCCCUACCUCUGCCCAAACCGUGCGUGUUUUAUAUUUUCUCUAUAUUGUUUUGGGCUUCGUUUAACAGGCCCGUAAAUGCGGUGAAAAGAAAUCUAGGUUGCGUUCUCAUCGUCGCCUCCGUCAUGUCUUUACGUUUCUGGUAACGGUUCAGCAGAGACUUUACUCCCGUUGAUUGUUACCUCCACGACGUCUCUUCAAUGCGGUCCUUGCGUCACAGAGGCGAUGAGUUUUUUGUGUAUAAAUAGAUGUUUCAGGAGAGACUGUUGGAUCCAAGAGAAGCAAGCAAGAUUAAGCUGAACUUAAUAUAGAAGUGUAAGUGGGAUAUUACAUUGUUGAAGAUGAUUCUUAAAUGUAUCAGUGUGGUUGUCUCAACCGAUCUUAAGCCAGUUGAUUGGUAGCCUUGAGGUGUCAAUCGAUACAAAGCUUCAAACAUCCGCUAUGAAUAUCGACAAUAUUUAUUUUAGCCACUAUGUCUCUCUUACAAUCAUGGUUAAGUUGUUUGUCAAUAAUAUUUGUUUAUGCUGUGUUGGUUGUUGUAAAAGAUCUGUUUCUCUAAACCUAUCAUUAAUAUUGCUGAUUUUGGACUGGCAGGUGUGGUUAAUCAUGGUUCACAUUUAUAGAGUAUGUUGUU